ACAGCAGUAGCCGCGGUAAAACGUAGGUGGCAAGCGUUGUCCGGAAUUAUUGGGCGUAAAGGGCUCGCAGGCGGUUUCUUAAGUCUGAUGUGAAAGCCCCCGGCUCAACCGGGGAGGGUCAUUGGAAACUGGGAAACUUGAGUGCAGAAGAGGAGAGUGGAAUUCCACGUGUAGCGGUGAAAUGCGUAGAGAUGUGGAGGAACACCAGUGGCGAAGGCGACUCUCUGGUCUGUAACUGACGCUGAGGAGCGAAAGCGUGGGGAGCGAACAGGAUUAGAUACCCGGGUAGUCCCUGUCUCUUAUAC
rnacentral:rRNA from 1 species